rnacentral:rRNA from 1 species
GGAUUAGAUACCCUGGUAGUCCUAGCUGUAAACGAUGGAUACUAGACGUAGGAAUUGGAUUAACGAUUUCUGUGUCGUAGCUAACGCGUUAAGUAUCCCGCCUGGGGAGUACGGUCGCAAGACUAAAACUCAAAGGAAUUGACGGGACCCCGCACAAGCGGCGGAGCAUGCGGCUUAAUUCGAUGAUACCCGUAGAACCUUACCUGGACUUGACAUAUAGGGAAAAGUUAUAGAAAUAUAAUGUGCAUUAGCGCCCUAUACAGGUGGUGCAUGGCUGUCGUCAGCUCGUGCCG